UCUGGUUGAUCCUGCCAGUAGUCAUAUGCUUGUCUCAAAGAUUAAGCCAUGCAUGUCUAAGUAUAAGCAAUUUAUACAGUGAAACUGCGAAUGGCUCAUUAAAUCAAUUAUCGUUUAUUUGAUAGUUCCUUUACUACAUGGUAUAACUGUGGUAAUUCUAGAGCUAAUACAUGCUUAAAAUCUCGACCCUUUGGAAGAGAUGUAUUUAUUAGAUAAAAAAUCAAUGUCUUCGGACUCUUUGAUGAUUCAUAAUAACUUUUCGAAUCGCAUGGCCUUGUGCUGGCGAUGGUUCAUUCAAAUUUCUGCCCUAUCAACUUUCGAUGGUAGGAUAGUGGCCUACCAUGGUUUCAACGGGUAACGGGGAAUAAGGGUUCGAUUCCGGAGAGGGAGCCUGAGAAACGGCUACCACAUCCAAGGAAGGCAGCAGGCGCGCAAAUUACCCAAUCCUAAUUCAGGGAGGUAGUGACAAUAAAUAACGAUACAGGGCCCAUUCGGGUCUUGUAAUUGGAAUGAGUACAAUGUAAAUACCUUAACGAGGAACAAUUGGAGGGCAAGUCUGGUA
rnacentral:rRNA from 1 species